rnacentral:rRNA from 1 species
AGAGGUGGCAAGCGUUGUUCGGAAUUACUGGGCGUAAAGGGCGCGUAGGUGGCCUUGUCAGUCAGACGUGAAAUCCCCAGGCUUAACUUGGGAACUGCGUCUGAUACUACAAGGCUUGAGUUCGGGAGAGGGAUGUGGAAUUCCAGGUGUAGCGGUGAAAUGCGUAGAUAUCUGGAGGAACACCGGUGGCGAAGGCGGCAUCCUGGACCGAAACUGACACUGAUGCGCGAAAGCCAGGGGAGCAAACGGGAUUAGAUACCCCGGUAGUCCUGGCCCUAAACGAUGAGUGCUUGGUGUGGCGGGUAUCGAUCCCUGCCGUGCCGAAGCUAACGCAUUAAGCACUCCGCCUGGGGAGUACGGUCGCAAGGCUGAA